rnacentral:rRNA from 1 species
AUGCGGCGUCGGACUAGCGGAUCCACGCUGCUCCUCCACCUCCCGACCAAUGCCCCCGGCCCGUCCUGCUGCUCACCUCCUCCUCGCAUAUGCAUCAACAAAACAUGGCAGCCGCUGCAGUCCACAUCGUUCAACAGUAGCAGGUCAACUCCUCCAAGGUCACACAAGCUCGCCGCCAAAAGCCCACGGUCUAUUGAGCCAGAGAUGGCACUGGACGCUGCCGCGGCCGGUCAUCUGGAUCGGAGCCACCAACCCAUGUCCGCACAGAGGGGGCUGGUAGCAGCCCCGUUGAUGGGGAUUGGGCACUAUCUGCAGCUACAAGUGGCAUCGACCUGCAGCUGCAGGGAGCGUCGACUUGCAGCUGGAGGAGGUGUCGACCUAAAGCUCGCCACCCACGCCACUAUGACCUACUGCCACAACGGUCCACCACCUACAGCCGGCGCCGCAGCGCCUCGGCCGUUCAACUAUGCCACCUCAGGCCGUUCAACUAUGCCCCCCGCCAUCGUCGACUCCAUUUGCUUCCUUCCGCUGUACGCGGCCAGCUCCAUGAGCUACUCGCCUCUACUCUGUUUAGAAGAGCGUCGUGAGCUCGUCCAACUAUGGCUGCUUCUCUGCUGUGUCAUGCCGUUAAAUAAUGCCAUGCAAUCAUCAGGUGAAAACCUGCAGGUGACAACUCCUGUUGUGGCCAUUUCUGCUCGGGCAGAUCCCGCUCCUGUUGAGAAUAGCAGCACACAAAAGGCUCAAGUUGUCGAUUAG